UCCAAUGUCUGGAGAAGCAGUCACCGGC
rnacentral:sRNA from 1 species